GGUGACGUCACGGGAGCCGACCCCCAAGCUGUCGCCCACGCUGAGCUUCCCCCUGGGGCACCGCGCCCAGCUGGCCGCGCGCGCCGCCGCCGCGCAGAUCCGGGUGCGGCUCCGGGGGCUCCGCUCCGGGGGCUCCUGGCGCAGCUUUGGGGACGUUCGGGCGGCGCUCGAGGGGCCCGGGACCCCCAUCAGUGAGUACGUGGUGCGGCACUGGCAGGAGGACGCGUUUUUCGGGGAGCAGUUCCUGAGCGGGUGAACCCCGUCCUGCUGCGCCGCUGCCCCCGCCUGCCCCCCAACUUCCCGGUCACCGAGCCCAUGGUGGCCGCCAGCCUGGGCACGGGGACGUCCCUGCAG